GUAGGGAAUCUUGCGCAAUGGGCGAAAGCCUGACGCACCCAUGCCGCGUGAAUGAUGAAGGUCUUAGGAUUGUAAAAUUCUUUCACCGGGGACGAUAAUGACGGUACCCGGAGAAGAAGCCCCGGCUAACUUCGUGCCAGCAGCCGCGGUAAUACGAAGGGGGCUAGCGUUGCUCGGAAUUACUGGGCGUAAAGGGAGCGUAGGCGGAUAGUUUAGUCAGAGGUGAAAGCCCAGGGCUCAACCUUGGAAUUGCCUUUGAUACUGGCUAUCUUGAGUAUGGAAGAGGUAUGUGGAACUCCGAGUGUAGAGGUGAAAUGCGUAGAUAUUCGGAAGAACACCAGUGGCGAAGGCGACAUACUGGUCCAUUACUGACGCUGAGGCUCGAAAGCGUGGGGAGCAAACAGGAUUAGAAACCCGGGUAGUCC
rnacentral:rRNA from 1 species